GACGAACGCUGGCGGCGUGCCUAAUACAUGCAAGUAGAACGCUGAAGGAGGAGCUUGCUUCUCUGGAUGAGUUGCGAACGGGUGAGUAACGCGUAGGUAACCUGCCUGGUAGCGGGGGAUAACUAUUGGAAACGAUAGCUGAUACCGCAUAAGAGUAGAUGUUGCAUGACAUUUGCUUAAAAGGUGCAAUUGCAUCACUACCAGAUGGACCUGCGUUGUAUUAGCUAGUUGGUGGGGUAACGGCUCACCAAGGCGACGAUACAUAGCCGACCUGAGAGGGUGAUCGGCCACACUGGGACUGAGACACGGCCCAGACUCCUACGGGAGGCAGCAGUAGGGAAUCUUCGGCAAUGGACGGAAGUCUGACCGAGCAACGCCGCGUGAGUGAAGAAGGUUUUCGGAUCGUAAAGCUCUGUUGUAAGAGAAGAACGAGUGUGAGAGUGGAAAGUUCACACUGUGGCGGUAUCUUACCAGAAAGGGACGGCUAACUACGUG
rnacentral:rRNA from 1 species